rnacentral:rRNA from 1 species
GUUGGGUAGGGGAGCGUUCUGUAAGCCUGCGAAGGUGUACUGUGAGGUAUGCUGGAGGUAUCAGAAGUGCGAAUGCUGACAUAAGUAACGAUAAUGCGGGUGAAAAACCCGCACGCCGGAAGACCAAGGGUUCCUGUCCAACGUUAAUCGGGGCAGGGUGAGUCGACCCCUAAGGCGAGGCUGAAAAGCGUAGUCGAUGGGAAACGGGUUAAUAUUCCCGUACUGGUGGUAACUGCGAUGGGGGAACGGAGAAGGCUAGGUUGUCCGGGCGACGGUCGUCCCGGUUCAAGCAGGUAGGCAGAGUGAUUAGGCAAAUCCGGUCACUUAAUGCUGAGAUGUGAUGACGAACCACCAAGGUGGUGAAGCAAUUGAUGCCCCGCUUCCAGGAAAAGCCUCUAAGCUUCAGGUUACCAACAAUCGUACCCCAAACCGACACAGGUGGUCAGGUAGAGAAUACUCAGGCGCUUGAGAGAACUCGGGUGAAGGAACUAGGCAAAAUGGUGCCGUAACUUCGGGAGAAGGCACGCUGGCGGUAGGUAAAGUCCCUCGCGGACAGAGCUGAAGCCAGUCGAAGAUACCAGCUGGCUGCAACUGUUUAUUAAAAACACAGCACUGUGCAAACACGAAAGUGGACGUAUACGGUGUGACGCCUGCCCGGUGCUGGAAGGUUAAUUGAUGGGGU